GCGCGAAAACUUUACAAUGCCGGCAACGGCGAUAAGGGAGCCUCGAGUGCCAGGUUACAAAUCUGGCUGUCGUGAUGCCUAAAAAGCAUUGCAUAGCAAGGGCCGGGCAAGACCGGUGCCAGCCGCCGCGGUAACACCGGCGGCUCGAGUGGUAACCGUUAUUAUUGGGUCUAAAGGGUCUGUAGCCGGCCGGAUAAGUCUCUUGGGAAAUCUGGCAGCUUAACUGUCAGGCUUUCAGGAGAUACUGUCUGGCUCGAGGCCGGGAGAGGUGAGAGGUACUUCAGGGGUAGGGGUGAAAUCUUGUAAUCCUUGAAGGACCACCAGUGGCGAAGGCGUCUCACCAGAACGGACCUGACGGCAAGGGACGAAAGCUAGGGGCACGAACCGGAUUAGAUACCCGGGUAGUCCUAGCCGUAAACGAUACUCGCUAGGUGUCGGCCACGGUGCGACCGUGGUCGGUGCCGUAGGGAAGCCGUGAAGCGAGCCACCUGGGAAGUACGGCCGCAAGGCUGAAACUUAAAGGAAUUGGCGGGGGAGCAC
rnacentral:rRNA from 1 species